rnacentral:lncRNA from 1 species
CCCCAUAAUGAUUAUUGACGGAGAGCAUUUAGGAAUUAAUCUAUAAUAAUACAUGUUUUAAAUUCUCAACUCUUAAGAAUAUGUAUCAUUGAUCAUUAACUCUAUGGACAAUUCUAGAACACAUUACUCUAGAAUGAAAAUAAUUAUCCAUAAUUUUAAUUUUAAUAAAUAAAAUAUAAAUUUAUAUCUCAAAAAUUUAUAAUGUGUCAGUUAAUAAUUGACUUUUCAAGUCAUACAUCUAACAAUCUUCAACUUGAUCUAAAGCCAAUCUGCUGCAAACCUAAGUUCCUUCUUCUCAAGAUGGACUUCAAUCUUUAGCUGGCAAAUUACUUAGUCAGUGGAUCCAUCACAUUUUCAUGAGGUCUACUCUCUUCACCUUGAUAUUUUCAAGUCAAGAUAAUCGCGUAUUAUUUAAAGUCCUUCUUUUCAUGUACUGGAUAUUCUAGUGAGAUCAAGACUCCAUCAGCUAAGGACUAUAGUGCCAACAUUGUCACUAUGAUGAUAUCUCAUGACAUCAAUUGCAAUAAAGAUACUUAGACCAGAAGAUCUUAUCUAGCACCUUUAGAAAUGGUGACUAACUCAGCUUCCUAUAAUAAUUGAUUGUUUGAAACUCUUCUAACUUAUCAAUUUCCAUAUUAUAUAUAUCCUGAUAUAGACUUUCUACCAUCAGUGCCAAACAUAAGAUCCAAACAUGUGUACCCAUAAAUCCUAUAACUCAAAAUUUUUCUUCAAAAAUCAAGAAUAAAUUCUUAGUGCUUCUCAAGUACUUAAAGAUAUUCUUCAUAGCUAUCCAGUGUCAUACAUUUGAUUCAACUGAUUUUUACUCGUGACGCUCAUAGCAAUAUCAAGUCAAGUCCAUUGCAUAGCAUUCAUGAGGCUUCAUAAGGGAUCAAGUUUAUGAACUAAAUCUCUUCAGAUGUGUUUAAACACAUCAUCUUAAAGAGAUACAUAUCUUGCCUAAGGGGUAGAAGUCCCCUUAUAGAGUUUCCAUACUAAACCCUUUCAGCACCUCCAUUAUGUACUUUAUCUGUAAAAAGUCUAGCAUCUUAUCAGAUCUGUCUCCAUAGACUUUUAAUCCAAGAUACUUUCCUUUAAUCUUUUUGGAGGAUCUACUUGACAACCAACUCUUGAUCGAAAUCAGCAUAGGAAUAGCUUUUCUAAUCAAGAGAAUCUUAUCCUCCCACUGAUCCUUUUAAAAACUCAAAGUUCCUCCUUUUUUUUGAUGAAAUCAAACUAUUUGAUUGCAUUAAACCAACUCUGAGAUGCUUGCAUUAAUUCAAAAUGGAUCCGUGCAGUUUGCAGAUCUUGUGAUCUCCAUCAUCGAAAGUGAAAUCUAUCAAGCUGCUCCAUGUAGAUAUCUUCUAAGAUAUCUAUUAAGGAACAAUUUUCACAUCCAUCUGCAUCAAAUUCUCUUUUGCAGAUCCAUUUACACCCAAUGAGUAUUAUACCUUCUGGUGGAUCCACUAAGAUCAGACUUGGUUGGAAUGCAUCAAGUCAAUCUUUGACUUUAUUGCUUCUAUUUAUUUUUCAAAAUCGAUGUCAUACAUUACCUCAUCAUAGGUCUUAAAAUCAACUAUUUGAUCCCUAGCUUCCACAAGAAACACUUCCUCUAUAUUCUCUGAAAGCAUAUCCAAGUAUCCCUUAUGAGGAUGGGAGACUUACACUGGAUAUAUGAGGUGGUGGAGGUCCUACACCAACUGGCUCAGAAUAAAUAGGUACAAUGAAAUCUCCAAUUUGUUGCUCUUUAGAGACUUUCUCUUCAAGCUCAAUUUUCUCCCACUACCACUAUGUUAGGUAAACUAUUUUUCUAGAAUGUGGUAUAAUAGAUCUCAAUCACAUUAUGGUUCGUCAGGAAGUACAAUUAAGUAUCCUAUUCAACAGGUUAAAGUAUGUUUCUAAAGAAGUAAAGGUUAGUGAGUGAACCUCAUUAUGGACUAAACCAUAUUCAAUAGGAUCCUUAUCUUCUUUUUCGAUACCCCAUUGAGCUAAGGUGAACCAGGAGGAAUCCAUGUGAGACUAUACCAUUUCCAUGAGACAAUCCUGAAAUUCCUACUAAGAUAUACACCUCCUCGAUUUAAUCAAAGAACCUCAAAAGAUUUUUCAUCAAAUGGGUCUAUAUAUAGUGAUCCUCUCCCCAUGUCCCACAAGAGGUAGUUUGGUCAAUUUUUCUUGAAGAUGGGAUCCACAAACUCAGAAUUUAUGUGUCAAGGAGAUGAUUUUUUUUCUAGUUUGUAUAUCCUAUCCUCUUCAAAAUGACCUUAUCUGAGGUACCACAUAUACUUAGAUUUAUCUCAUCCAUAUAUCUCCUAGAUACUACGGCAUACUCACUGUCCGAAUACAUCAAUAUGUAAACAGAUCUAACAUACCUUCAUAAGAUGUGUCAUCCUUCUUCCUUAGGCUAUCCAGGUAGGAGGACAUUUCUCAUCCGAGUGGCCGUCAGUACUACAGCAGAAAUAUUUUUCCUUGCCUGACGCUUUCUCUUUGAGAAAAUCCAUUCUUGGCUCAUUCUCCCGUAGACCUCUAUUUUAAAAGACUCUCUCCUAGAAUCAGAUUUUUCACAGUAAGAACACAGCCCCUUGAAUUUUUCAAGGUCGCCUUAGUGGUUACCAAUAUGUUCAUCAAUUUUGAUAAUGCAUUAUCACACUCAUUUAUAUGGUAGUUUACUCUAAACUGACCAAAUAAACCAUUAAGGGACUGCUAGAUUAAAUCCACUUAGUUCUUCAUGUAUGGUUAUCUUGAACUCAUAAGGUCCUUGGCCAUUGUCAAACAAUGAUUAUGGAUGGACUAAAUGUGUAGUCCGGCUCUACUCACCACACAACUAUUGUAGGUGAGUUAUCAUAGCCUUAAAUUCAUGAUGUCCUCAUAUUGGCACUAAGGCAAAGGUAUAGUGCCU